rnacentral:rRNA from 1 species
UAAGUCUGAUGUGAAAGCCCCCGGCUCAACCGGGGAGGGUCAUUGGAAACUGGGGAACUUGAGUGCAGAAGAGGAGAGUGGAAUUCCACGUGUAGCGGUGAAAUGCGAUAGAGAUGUGGAGGAACACCAGUGGCGAAGGCGACUCUCUGGUCUGUAACUGACGCUGAGGAGCGAAAGCGUGGGGAGCGAACAGGAUUAGAUACCCUGGUAGUCCACGCCGUAAACGAUGAGUGCUAAGUGUUAGGGGGUUUCCGCCCCUUAGUGCUGCAGCUAACGCAUUAAGCACUCCGCCUGGGGAGUACGGUCGCAAGACUGAAACUCAAAGGAAUUGACGGGGGCCCGCACAAGCGGUGGAGCAUGUGGUUUAAUUCGAAGCAACGCGAAGAACCUUACCAGGUCUUGACAUCCUCUGACAAUCCUAGAGAUAGGACGUCCCCUUCGGGGGCAGAGUGACAGGUGGUGCAUGGUUGUCGUCAGCUCGUGUCGUGAGAUGUUGGGUUAAGUCCCGCAACGAGCGCAACCCUUGAUCUUAGUUGCCAGCAUUCAGUUGGGCACUCUAAGGUGACUGCCGGUGACAAACCGGAGGAAGGUGGGGAUGACGUCAAAUCAUCAUGCCCCUUAUGACCUGGGCUACACACGUGCUACAAUGGACAGAACA